rnacentral:lncRNA from 11 species
CUUCAGCAUAGCCUUUCAUCUUACAUGCAAUCCCACAACCACAAAAGUAGUACUUUUGUAUGCAAGUUCCGGAGUGGAGCCCACCAGAUCCCAUCAAACGACGAAGAGCUAUGUCCACGAAUUGUGGUGAAAGCAUCGUAUGAUGGAGCAACAAGAACACUUCCCGGGUUCUCAUUACCAGCAAUGAAGUGAGUUAUGGAAGCUGAGCAGCUACGCUUUCCCCUGUACAAUGGGGAAGGCAGCGC